AGUGCGCAUGCGUGGGUGAUGGAGCGCCUGGGGGAGCGGUGGGCUGCGUGAUGAGCAGAGCGAUCCGCGCUUCGCCCAGCUGCUGAAGCGAGACAUUUUCCUUCCCGAUAUCUGAAAAAAGAGUUGUCUGUGGCUGAAGUUGUACUCGCAGGCUCCUGAAACGCAUGAACACCAUCUAGUGGGACAUGGGCAGCAAGUGCUGAUACAUGCAAUCAGAUACAGCUGUCUGUGUGUCUAUGUGGAUUUCAUACACUGGGUGGAACUAUUGCCAAACUCCGCUAUUCAAAUGACAGCUCACAAACAUCUGUGCACAGAAAAUCAUAGAAGGUGAUCUCUUUGUAACGCUCUGUUCUCUCCCCAUGUAAUUCUCUCAUGAUUUGUCACUGCAGUGUAACUGCUCUUGUCCACUGGAUGGUGUACCACUUGUUUCUGCAGCUGGAGGGCAUCUUAAGACGUGUUGGAGUCACACUGACCUUGGCAAGCAGUGUGCAUAUCUCCAUACGUGAAAACAGAGGGAGAAAUAGUAUAGACAGAGCCGUUGUUUAGCAACUAAAAAAAAAUAAUAACUACAUAUAAUGUCAUGUGACAUAAAUACAGGCUGAAAAUAGGACACUGUCUCCCAGAACAGAGCCUUCUCAAAGUUCAGGUGUAUGCUGGUCUUGUGCUACACAUGUGAGUCUUGCCGGUAUUGGUGGGUGUUGUUUUGAAGAUCUAGAUUCAUUUGCAGCUCUUUGAGGUUUGGAGACCAUGAACCGUUUUAUUUUUUACUUGUAAGCUUUGCUUUUUGCUCUAGAGAGCUUGGAUAGGGCAAGGCAGCAAAUCAGUCUGAAAUUCACCUUGCUCCCUUCUCCGUACUUUUAGCACUGUGCAGGUUUCCCAUUUCCUCCUGAACUCAAAACCAAACAAAUCAGUUGCACGUUUUACUUCCCACGUUUUUGCUAAGCGUGUGGAGCAGGGCUUGAGCAGUUUUAAUAUGCACAUCGUUGUUUUUUGCCAUGCUAAAAACAUUACCAGACAUGUCAGGACUUCGGUUCUUCUGCAAGUCCCGCUGUUUUGGAACCACUUCCCCAGCAAACAAUACUGCCAAGAUAAAUUGUUUGUCGGAGAUAACUUCCAAGUCCUCCAGCAGAUUACCUAAGAGAUGUUGAAAAAUAAUGCUGCACAAAGCAAAUUGUUUCCAUGCUUCCUGUCCUCGUAGGAAGGAAUGGAGCUUAUCUCUGUUACAGAUUCCAUAGAGACGGCUGCAGUACCUUAAACCGAUGUACUGUUUAAACUGGGAGAGUUUUGGAAUACUUCAGAUAUCAGGGAAACACAUGAAAUAUGCAUGCCCUGUUGUUCCUGCCCUCAGAAAUGCAAAUACUGACAUUCAAAUGAUUUGUAUAAGGACUCCAAUGGUUUGGCAAAGCUCAGUAAAGCUGCUCACAGAUUGCGUUAGACAAAAACAGUUCAGCAGAAUAUGCCAUUUCCCAUAGGCAAAUCUCAAGACAACGAGUGCUGUUUAGGGUUUAAUUAUGCAUGUUUGUAAAGUGCCAAAGAUUUGUCAUUUGUGUGGAUUCUUGCUCGCCGAGUAUUGUUUUGUGUCAAUGUUUUCUUUACAUUUGAGCUAAAAAUAAAAGCAGUACUUCAUAAU
rnacentral:lncRNA from 1 species